UACGUAGGGGGCAAGCGUUGUCCGGAUUUAUUGGGCGUAAAGCGCUCGCAGGUGGUUCGUCGCGUCGUGCGUGAAAGACCCCGGCUCAACUGGGGAGGGUCGUGCGAUACGGGCGGACUGGAGGCCAGUAGGGGGAUGUGGAAUUCCGGGUGUAGUGGUGGAAUGCGUAGAGAUCCGGAGGAACACCAGCGGCGAAGGCGGCAUCCUGGACUGGUCCUGACACUCAUGAGCGAAAGCGUGGGGAGCGAUC
rnacentral:rRNA from 1 species